CUGCGGUUCUGGCGAAGAGCAGUCCUCCCCGAGUUCAGUGUGCGCCUGUGCUCCCCUCGUUGUGGAUUCCCUACCUCCUGUGUCCUCCCUCGACGCUGUCGGUGCUACCGGUCAGAAGCCACCCCUCGUGUGUCCACCCUUUCCUCUCGUCGAUCCCUCUCUGGUGGAACCCCCCUCAUUCCAACAAGACGACCCGGUCAUCAGCACCAGGAGUCGCGUCCUGACCCCUCCCCUGACUUCAAUAAACUGAUUAUUGUGCACUU